rnacentral:misc_RNA from 1 species
AUGUCGUAACAAGGUUUCCGUGGGUGAACCUGCGGAAGGAUCAUUACUGUGAUUUAGUACUACACUGCGUGAGCGGAACGAAAACAACAACACCUAAAAUGUGGAAUAUAGCAUAUAGUCGACAAGAGAAAUCUACGAAAACAAACAAAA